rnacentral:rRNA from 1 species
UACGGGGGGGGCGAGCGUUAUUCGGAAUUAUUGGGCGUAAAGGGCGCGUAGGCGGCCUGGUAAGUCAAAGGUGAAAUCCCUCGGCUCAACUGAGGAACUGCCUUUGAUACUGUCAGGCUUGAGGCCGGGAGGGGGUAGCGGAAUUCCCAGUGUAGCGGUGAAAUGCGUAGAUAUUGGGAGGAACACCAGUGGCGAAGGCGGCUACCUGGACCGGUUCUGACGCUGAGGCGCGAAAGCGUGGGGAGCAAACAGG